rnacentral:rRNA from 1 species
UACGUAGGGGGCUAGCGUUGUCCGGAAUCAUUGGGCGUAAAGCGCGUGUAGGCGGUCCGGUAAGUCCGCUGUGAAAGUCGGGGGCUCAACCCUCGAAUGCCGGUGGAUACUGUCAGACUAGAGUACGGAAGAGGCGAGUGGAAUUCCUGGUGUAGCGGUGAAAUGCGCAGAUAUCAGGAGGAACACCCAUUGCGAAGGCAGCUCGCUGGGACGUUACUGACGCUGAGAAGCGAAAGCAUGUGGAGCGAACAGG